rnacentral:misc_RNA from 1 species
GUGAAUCAUCAAAUUUUUGAACGCAAAUUGCACUCCCUGGUAUUCCGGGGAGUAUGCCUGUUUGAGGGUCGUUAGAAUAAAAAAUCGAUGCGUCGCUCUUUUUUUUAAGGGUGAUCGCGUCGGAAUUGAGCCGUAUUUUAAAUGUUAAUUCAUGUCAAAGUGGCUUGAAAUUCAUCCAUCCGGUACGAUUGAAGUGUAUUAAACAUCAAUUUUGAUGGUGAAGGUGGGUUGAGGU